CUUACAUUGCUUGGCAUAAACUUGUCCUCCUCUUUAAUACCUGGAGGAAGCGUAAGGCCUAUCAUAUCUUUUGCCUGUAUACCAACUCGAUAAUGCCUGAACAUUGGUUCUGUACUGUCAAACUCCUCGGACGAGCAAUUUGUUUCGAUAGACUUCACCACUGCAUUUUGCUGACGUGUCAACUCUUGAUUGCCAUCAGAUUCUUUAGCUGUACAGAAUUCAUUGGAAACCCCAUCAGAUUUGAUACACAGUAAGUUUAUGAUCAUCGUGGCAUGUUAGUGACGCAAAAUCCUAAAAGAAUACAACGAAUCUUUUUUGUUUGAACUAGCGUGCUCAUUAGGUGUAUGUGCGCUUCUUUUUCCUGCCUUGACAGAGACAAGUGGAGACUUGUAUUUGACUGGAGUUACUUUUUUUCUUCGGUUUUGUUUCACU
rnacentral:lncRNA from 1 species